GGGGAAACAGCAGAUGGAAGGAACUAAAAGGGAGAAAAGGUAAAAGAAAUAAUUUAAAAAAAUUACUUGUCUUUGUCUCUUUUACUUAUCAGAAAAGGGGACCACAGGCGCAAGAAUUGUAGUUUACAUUGAAAGCUUUUUGCCUCAAGGAAUUGCAAUUUAUGUUUGAAAGCUUUUUGCUUCUUUUUUUUAGCUUGAAAAAUAAAAAUAAAUUAAACCUUAGGCGGCUAAGGUUAAAAGUCUCCUAAUAGAAGAAUGCGUGUGUACUGAAA
rnacentral:misc_RNA from 1 species